UACGUAGGAGACGAGCGUUGUCCGGAAUACUGGGCGUAAAGCGCGUGUAGGCGGAUGAGCAAGUCUGCUGUGAAAGCCCCUGGCUUAACCGGGGGUGGUCGGUGGAAACUGCUCGUCUGGAGGACGGUAGAGGUAGGUAGAAUUCCCGGUGUAGUGGUGAAAUGCGCAGAUAUCGGGAAGAACACCCGUGGCGGAAGGCGGCUCUCUGGGAGCG
rnacentral:rRNA from 1 species